rnacentral:lncRNA from 1 species
CUCUGACCCCUUUAGAAACAACCUGGUGAAGAUCAUCAUGGAGGCUGAAGGAGACCUUGAUAAGAGGGGUUUCUGUGGAUUGUUGGGCAAAAGCCAAACUGGAGCAGGAUGGCAAGAAUGGACAAUGAGGAAGGGUUGGCAGCAAGUAUUGACCACUGUUAUGAGGCAUUGGUUAUAAAAGGGGCAAAGAAAAAGGUUACAGCUGGUAUGUGGAAUCUAGGGGAGGAUUUUUUUUUUUUUUUAACAAAAGAGGACAUUCUCAGACUCACCACACACAGGAGGAAACUGUGGAAACACUUAUUCAGAAACAUACCUGAAGUUCUGACCAAAAGAGAGAUGUGAUUGUAAAUCCUGACUCAAUGGCUUUUUUUCCUGCAAAGUUAGCAAGCCUUCAUUUAGUAGAGCAUUUCAGAGCUGGCAGAUAGUACCAUUCAGUCCUCUCAUUAAACUGAGGAAUCUGAGGCUCAGAUAAAUGAGAUCUGAGAUUUGUUCUCAGAGCAGUAUUGGGUAAGGAUUAAGAAAAUGGCUUUGGGGCCAGAAAUACCUUGGAUUGAGUACCAACUCUUCUACCACUUGUUGGCUAUGUGACCUCAGUCUUCUCAUCAGUUGAGUGCGGGGAUUGUACAGUAUUUCACAGAUAAGCCUCCUGGGGGGACAUUUUCUUAUAGGGUUUGUUGUAAAAAUAAACUGAGA